AUACGGAGGGUGCAAGCGUUGUCCGGAUUUAUUGGGUUUAAAGGGUGCGUAGGUGGCGUGUUAAGUCAGUGGCGAAAGCCUGCAGCUCAACUGUAGAGGUGCCAUUGAUACUGACAUGCUUGAGUAUGGACGAGGUAGGCGGAAUUUGUGGUGUAGCGGUGAAAUGCAUAGAUACCACAAAGAACACCGAUAGCGAAGGCAGCUUACUGGACCAUAACUGACACUGAGGCACGAAAGUGUGGGUAGCGAACAGGAUUAGAAACCCCAGUAGUCC
rnacentral:rRNA from 1 species